GUGGAUAUAGCUUAGUGACAGUGCACUUGCCUGGUAUGCAUGAGAACCUGGGUUUGAUCCCCAGCACCACC
rnacentral:tRNA from 1 species